rnacentral:lncRNA from 1 species
AAUCUAUGAAAUUCAUACAACUUUGAUUUUGAAAAAUGUGCAGGUAUCAUGUCUUCAGGGGUGUGCACAUGACCUGAUUUCAGGUUUUUUAAGCUUAAAUUAGGCAAUGUUUUUCCCAGUUUCUCUGGAUAAAACUUUUUUAUACUAUUAAAAGUACACUUUUUUUUUUAUUCCAUUAUAAACUAGAGAACAUUCUGAUUCCAGUGAUAUCUAGUUUUAUACAGGUAUCUUUAUUAAUCAGUCCACCACUAAGGGUCACUUAUACAUGGUCCCUCAAAAUAUGACGUCAUAGAAAAAAACUGUUGAUUGCACCCUUAUACAAUAUUCAUUG